AGUAAUUUGAUCGAGUAAAGUUUUUAUUAAUUACUUCCGUAACGUCUUAUCCUCUCAAUUUUCUAAGCUUUAAUAGCCCUGCAAUAUGUUCAAUAAGUGCUGUGUUGUGACCUGCUAGUAGACGAAAAGACGUCUGUUUUUAUAUGUUUCCAAAAAUUGAGAUAGGACUCAAGAAAUGGUUACAGUGCACUGUGAAGCUUGAGCUACCAGGAAAUUUGCAGGCAGUUUGUGUGCCAAAAUCAUUUUGAAAAAGAUUUCUCGCCUCUACAUGCGAUAGAACUCGCCUUUGCCCCGACGCCUAUCCUACUUUGUUAAGCGAUCGCAAGAUAACCAGUGGAAUUCCUCAAACCACGGUUACAAACCUCAAUACAACUGUUCCUGCCAUCAGUGAUCAUGGUUAUUGUAGAAAGAGGUGUCAUUUUGAUCACACAUAUUGAAAACUAGAGGUUAUGCAGAACCACACAAAAUAUCAUGGUGACAUUGGAGCACAGCUAUACAAUAAGCUUCCGAAAACUGUUAGAGAAGCGACUUCGCUCAACAUCUUCAAAAAAAGGCUGCUAUAUCAUUUACAAUGCAAUGAAUAAAAACAUCUUAUCAUAAUAACAAUAAACUAUAUCUUGUAACUUGGACCACCGACUUAAAAAACCGGAAAGCAGCAAUGAGCAAAUUCGCCUCUCACUCACUGAUUUUAUGUUCUCAUGUAAGUGACGACAGUCGUAAUGAGAAUUAAAGUUCUUUAAACCGAUAAAGUAUCAUAUAAGGUUUGUUCUACUCUCAGUUUCUACUACCGGUCCGUAGAUUGAAUUUGCAAUCAUGGUUAAAACUAUUAUAAACAGAUACAGAAAACCGGUAUGGUUUUCUGUAGCUUGCCCCAAAGAUUAAACUCCAAUCCCUGAAAUCACCUUAUGUCAGACUUCAGACUCCACCUGACUUAUAUGGUUUAAUAAUAAUUGACAGCUGUGCUGGCUUCUGACACCAUUUUUAACAAGAGAAAAGUCAAUAUAUGAGUCCAUAAUCUAAUACUAGCCCAAUGGUCAUAACACUAGGUUAUCACAAUUUAUCUGAUGGCUUUAAUAGUCACUCAAUUUAUUUAAUAAUGUUAUUUAUUAUUUUCAGAGAUUCCAAUGCAUUGUUUCCCAGAUGCUGUCAAAUUUCCUGAGCAGUUUAAAACUUGGGUCAGUCUUGUUGGUGGAAACCCUUAAACAUCUGAUUUUGAAUGUUAUAAGAAGAAGAGAAUUUGUGAUAUACACUUUUCUGACAGACACAGAAAUCGUAAUCAACGGCUAAGCACAUUGACAGUUCUGAUGCUUCAUCUGCCUAGACAACUACAGAGUCAAGUAAUCAUAGGACAAGCUUCAUCCACACAACAUUUAUUGCCUACAACAAUACAGCAAGACUGUUCAGAGCCAUAUGUGAGCAACUUUAUUUUAGAAAAAGCAUCAAAUUCAACAACAUUCCAACCUGUGGCUGCAGAUGCAUCUCAACAAUUUACUUAUAUAACGCAAGGUGCUUGAUGCUGGAACAUAAUUAUAGUUUUAUUAGCAAGCCUAAAGAAACAGCUGGAAAAGAUCUAAUGGCUCCACAGUGCACAAAGAUCAAGCAUCUUCAAGCAGAAAUAUCGCGCUUGCGAAAAAAAGGACAAUCUUUCAAAGCAAGGUUAAAAGGUGGUGCAGAUCGAUCAAUCGAAUUUUGUCCGGAAAAUUAACUUAUGUGGGUGAAGACGAAACAAAAACAGCUGUUCAACAAUAUUAUGAUAAACAUAAACAUUAUAAAAAUAAAAAAUAAUAUGCAAA